UGUGCUUCCCUGGGAUGUAUCCCAAGUCUAUACCAAAUUUCAUCAAAAUCGGUUCAGCGGUUGGGCCGUGGAAACGUAGCAGACAGACAGACAGACUUUCGCAUUUUUAUUAUUAGUAUGGAUUGCUAUAAAAAACCUGAUUUUUCAUGCAGUACUCAAUUGUGUGAGAGAGUAAGUAUAGUAUCGCAUACUAUACUUAUCCCUCUCACACGAGAUGAAAUGAUUAGCGCCUCGCUCCUCAAUUCGUUUCUUACUAAAUGGCACGCGUUAUAAUACAUUUUCAAGGUUUACUUCAUACACAUUUUAUAUUAAAUACUGAACUAUACAUAUUUUAACUAUACCAA